rnacentral:lncRNA from 1 species
GGCCUGUCAAGGCCAAGCAAGGAAAGGCUAGGAAAGGCGUGGCAAGAAAAGGCCAGGCAGAGCAAUGCCAGGCAAUGCAAUGCCAGGCAAGGCCAUGCCAGCGCAGACCAGAUGAGGACAGGCAAGGCUAGACAAAGCAAGGGCAGGAAUGGCAAGACCAGGCCAGGCCAGGCAAGGUUAGGCCAGGCAAUUCAAGGCCAGGUCAGGCCAAGCAAGGCAAGGCAAGGCAAUGCAUGGCCAGGCAAGGCAAGGCCACGAAAGGCAAGGCAAGGCCAGGCAUGGCCAGGCAAGGCAAGGCCACGGAAGGCAAGGCAUGGCCAGGCAAGGCAAGGCCACGGAAGGCAAGGCAAGGCAAGGCAUGGCCAGGCAAGGCAAGGGAAGGCCAGUCUGGCAAGGCAAAGCCAGGCAAGGCAAUGCAAGGCCAAGCCAGGCAAGGAAAAGGCCAGGAAAAGGAAAGGCCAGGCAAGGGCAUGCUUGCAGUGCAAGGACAGCAUCCCGUCUGGUGGAUGAGGGAAAGGCUGUUGAUGUGGUCUACCUAGACUUCAGCAAAGCCUUUGACACUGUCUCUCACAGUAUUCUCCUCCAGAAGCUGGCAGAUCGUGGCUUGGACAGAUACAUUCUUUGCUGGGUAAGGAACUGGCUGGAGGGCCGGGCCCAGAGACUGGUAGUGAACGGAGUUAAAUCCAGCUGGCGACCGGACACGAGUGGGGUUC